AUUGAACGCUGGCGGCAUGCCUUACACAUGCAAGUCGAACGGCAGCACGGGUGCUUGCACCUGGUGGCGAGUGGCGAACGGGUGAGUAAUACAUCGGAACAUGUCCUGUAGUGGGGGAUAGCCCGGCGAAAGCCGGAUUAAUACCGCAUACGAUCUACGGAUGAAGGCGGGGGACCUUCGGGCCUCGCGCUAUAGGGUUGGCCGAUGGCUGAUUAGCUAGUUGGUGGGGUAAAAGCCUACCAAGGCGACGAUCAGUAGCUGGUCUGAGAGGACGACCAGCCACACUGGGACUGAGACACGGCCCAGACUCCUACGGGAGGCAGCAGUGGGGAAUUUUGGACAAUGGGCGAAAGCCUGAUCCAGCAAUGCCGCGUGUGUGAAGAAGGCCUUCGGGUUGUAAAGCACUUUUGUCCGGAAAGAAAUCCUUGGCCCUAAUACGGUCGGGGGAUGACGGUACCGGAAGAAUAAGCACCGGCUAACUACGUG
rnacentral:rRNA from 1 species